GACGAACGCUGGCGGCGUGCUUAACACAUGCAAGUCGAACGGAAAGGCCCUGCUUUUGUGGGGGGCUCGAGUGGCGAAAGGGUGAGUAACACGUGAGUAACCUGCCCUUGACUUUGGGAUAACUUCAGGAAACUGGGGCUAAUACCGGAUAUGAGCUCCUGCUGCAUGGUGGGGGUUGGAAAGUUUCGGCGGUUGGGGAUGGACUCGCGGCUUAUCAGCUUGUUGGUGGGGUAGUGGCUUACCAAGGCUUUGACGGGUAGCCGGCCUGAGAGGGUGACCGGCCACACUGGGACUGAGAUACGGCCCAGACUCCUACGGGAGGCAGCAGUGGGGAAUAUUGCACAGUGGGCGGAAGCCUGAUGCAGCAACGCCGCGUGCGGGAUGACGGCCUUCGGGUUGUAAACCGCUUUCGCCUGUGACGAAGCGUGAGUGACGGUAAUGGGUAAAGAAGCACCGGCUAACUACGUG
rnacentral:rRNA from 1 species